UACGUAGGGGGCGAGCGUUAUCCGAAUUUAUUGGGCGUAAAGCGUGUGUAGGUGGUUUAUUAAGUCUAAGAUCAAAGCCCGAGGCUCAACCUCGGUUCGUUUUAGAAACUGAUAGACUUGAGUAUAGUAGAGGCAAGUGGAAUUUCUAGUGUAGCGGUUAAAUGCGUAGAUAUUAGAAGGAACACCAGUGGCGAAGGCGACUUGCUGGGCUAUUACUGACGCUGAGGCACGAAAGCGUGGGGAGCAAAUA
rnacentral:rRNA from 1 species